UACGUAGGUGGCAAGCGUUGUCCGGAAUUAUUGGGCGUAAAGCGCGCGCAGGUGGUUUCUUAAGUCUGAUGUGAAAGCCCACGGCUCAACCGUGGAGGGUCAUUGGAAACUGGGGAACUUGAGUGCAGAAGAGGAAAGUGGAAUUCCAAGUGUAGCGGUGAAAUGCGUAGAGAUUUGGAGGAACACCAGUGGCGAAGGCGGCGUUCUGGACUGUAACUGACACUGAGAAACGAAAGCCAGGGUAGCAAACGGG
rnacentral:rRNA from 1 species